UACGGGGGGGGCAAGCGUUGUUCGGAAUUACUGGGCGUAAAGGGCGCGUAGGCGGCCUUCUAAGUCAGACGUGAAAUCCCUCGGCUUAACCGGGGAACUGCGUCUGAUACUGGAUGGCUUGAGUUCGGGAGAGGGAUGCGGAAUUCCAGGUGUAGCGGUGAAAUGCGUAGAUAUCUGGAGGAACACCGGUGGCGAGGACGGCGACUCCUGGA
rnacentral:rRNA from 1 species